rnacentral:tRNA from 1 species
GGAAGCGUGGCCGAGUGGUUGAAGGCACUGGUCUUGAAAACCAGCGAUGGGGCAACCUGUCCGUGAGUUCGAAUCUCACCGCUUCCGCCA